UACACACCUUCGUUCAGUCAGACGACUUCGGAAAGCAACCAGAAAAGAUGUCAGGCAACGAAUUGUGAUUGCUCGUCCGUGAAGAGUACGUACUACUUAGCCCUUCGUAUUUGGUCGUUAUAGAUGCGCUAUUUAACCUUAAUCACGAUUAACUUUAAACGAAAGCAGGACGAGAAGGCGUAUGUUUAAAGCGCCGACUCUAAGAUUGAAAUUCCGAAGCGUUCUCCAUAAGAUGGGGAACUCGACGAAGUCGUCAGCAGUUUAAAUAGUGAUUAUGGAGGCAACAAGUAUUUUUGCAGAGGAAGCAGACAAAGAAAGGUUUAAGGGUACUGAACAAGUAGUGCAGUUAUGGUCCUAUCAACAAGCACUCCGAUUACGGCACCUGUCACAAAUUGUUGGAAGGAAUUUGCAGGGCCAUGGCAACCAGGCUGAACCAACACCGGCAAACCCACUGCCCUCUAAGGUUCCAAGGCCACCAACAGCUUUUGGGUUAGUAGCUUGUAUUGCAUUGCAUAU